rnacentral:rRNA from 1 species
GACGAACGCUGGCGGCGUGCCUAAUACAUGCAAGUAGAACGCACAGUUUAUACCGUAGCUUGCUACACCAUAGACUGUGAGUUGCGAACGGGUGAGUAACGCGUAGGUAACCUGCCUGGUAGCGGGGGAUAACUAUUGGAAACGCUAGCUAAUACCGCAUAAUAUUAAUUAUUGCAUGAUAAUUAAUUGAAAGGUGCAAUUGCACCACUACCAGAUGGCCCUGCGUUGUAUUAGCUAGUAGGUGAGGUAACGGCUCACCUAGGCGACGAUACAUAGCCGACCGGAGAGGGUGGGCGGCCACACUGGGACGGAGACACGGCCCAGACUCCUACGGGAGGCAGCAGUAGGGAAACGUCGGCAAGGGACGAAAGACUGACCGAGCAACGCCGCGGGAGUGAAGAAGGUUGUCGGAUCGGAAAGCUCUGUUGUAAGAGAAGAACGGGUGUGAGAGUGGAAAGUUCACACUGUGACGGUAUCUGACCAGAAAGGGACGGCUAACUACGUG